rnacentral:lncRNA from 1 species
GAGUAUGGUUCCCAAUGUGGAGUGAGCUUCCUUUUCCAAAUGAAAAUCUAAUUAAAAAAGAAAGAAGCCUAUGAAGAAGCAAAAGAGCAAGAGCAAGCCUAAGAGGAAAGCUCCUAAGAAAAAGGUCACUGACAAGGAAAAAUAUUUUUAUUACAAUGUUGAUGGCCAUUGAAAAAAAAAUUAUCCCAUAUACCUAGAGUCCC